rnacentral:rRNA from 1 species
AUUGAACGCUGGCGGCAGGCCUAAUACAUGCAAGUCGAGCGGCACGGCGGACGGGGGAGUAAUGCCUAGGAAUCUGACUGGUAGUGGGGGAUGACGUCCGGAAGCAGGCGCUAAUACCGCAUACUAUCAGCUAAAACUAGGGUGAAUGAGCUAGUUGGUGGGGUAAAGGCCUACCAAGGCGACGAUCCGUCACUGGUCUGAGAGGAUGAUCAGUCACACUGGAACCGAGACACGGCCUAGACUCCUACGGGAGGCAGCAGUGGGGAAUCUUCGACAAUGUUCGAAAGCCUGAUCCAGCCAUGCCGCGUGUGUGAAGAAGGGCUUCGGAGUGUAAAGCACGUUCAGUUGGGAGGCGUUACCCACAGAAGAAGCACCGGCUAACUUCGUGCCAGCUGCCGCGGUAAUAA